UAUGAUUUACUUUUGAUUUAGUCAAUAAAUCUAAAGGUAACGAAUACCCCGCUACAGAAAAGUGGCGACUCUGUUGGGGAAAAGUUGCUUCCUAGUGGGUUUAGCCUACUUUUUGCUUUGUUGUAUUGUAUGUUUAUAUUUAUUUGUGACAUAUUUUUAUGCAAAUUUGGGAUGACUGUAUUGUUUGUAAUGUAUGAAUUGCUUGAUAUAUUCAAUUGCUUGUGUGCUUGGUGGUCUCUGGUG
rnacentral:lncRNA from 1 species